UCCUACGGGAGGCAGCAGUAGGGAAUUUUCCGCAAUGGAGGAAAGUCUGACGGAGCAACGCCGCGUGAGCGAUGAAGGCCUUCGGGUUGUAAAGCUCUGUUGUUAGGGAAGAACAAGUACCGGAGUAACUGCCGGUACCUUGACGGUACCUAACCAGAAAGCCACGGCUAACUACGUGCCAGCAGCCGCGGUAAUACGUAGGUGGCAAGCGUUGUCCGGAAUUAUUGGGCGUAAAGCGCGCGCAGGCGGUUCUUUAAGUCUGAUGUGAAAGCCCCCGGCUCAACCGUGGAGGGUCAUUGGAAACUGGGGGACUUGAGUGCAGAAGAGGAGAGUGGAAUUCCACGUGUAGCGGUGAAAUGCGUAGAGAUGUGGAGGAACACCAGUGGCGAAGGCGGCUUUCUGGUCUGUAACUGACGCUGAGGCGCGAAAGCGUGGGGAGCAAACAGGAUUAGAUACCCUGGUAGUCCACGCCGUAAACGAUGAGUGCUAAGUGUUAGAGGGUUUCCGCCCCUUAGUGGCGCAAGCUAACGCA
rnacentral:rRNA from 1 species